AUCCAGUUGACGAGUCCUAAAUAGGACGAAACGCACGUCCUCCAU
rnacentral:hammerhead_ribozyme from 1 species